rnacentral:rRNA from 1 species
GUCCGCACAGUAAACGAUGAUAACUAGAUGUUUGCGAUAUACAGUAAGCGUCCAAGCGAAAGCGAUAAGUUAUCCACCUGGGGAGUACGCCGGCAACGGUGAAACUCAAAGGAAUUGACGGGGGCCCGCACAAGCGGAGGAGCAUGUGGUUUAAUUCGAUGAUACGCGAGGAACCUUACCAGGGCUUGAAAGUUAAGGAAUGAUUAUGAAAGUAGUCAGUCAGCAAUGACCUAAAACUAGGUGCUGCAUGGCUGUCGU